GAUGAACGCUGGCGGCGUGCCUAAUACAUGCAAGUCGAGCGAACGGACGAGAAGCUUGCUUCUCUGAUGUUAGCGGCGGACGGGUGAGUAACACGUGGAUAACCUACCUAUAAGACUGGGAUAACUUCGGGAAACCGUAGCUAAUACCGGAUAAUAUCUUGAACCGCAUGGUUCAAAAGUGAAAGACGGUCUUGCUGUCACUUAUAGAUGGAUCCGCGCUGCAUUAGCUAGUUGGUAAGGUAACGGCUUACCAAGGCAACGAUGCAUAGACGACCUGAGAGGGUGGUCGGCCACACUGGAGCUGAGACACGGUCCAGACGCCUACGGGAGGCAGCAGUAGGGAAUCUUCCGCAAUGGGCGAAAGCCUGACGGAGCAACGCCGCGUGAGUGAUGAAGGUCUUCGGAGCGUAAAACUCUGUUAUGAGGGAAGAACAUAUGUGGAAGUAAAUGUGCACAUCUUGACGGUACCUAAUCAGAAAGCCACGGCUAACUACGUG
rnacentral:rRNA from 1 species